GACGAACGCUGGCGGCGUGCCUAAUACAUGCAAGUCGAACGCUUCUUUCCUCCCGAGUGCUUGCACUCAAUUGGAAAGAGGAGUGGCGGACGGGUGAGUAACACGUGGGUAACCUACCCAUCAGAGGGGGAUAACACUUGGAAACAGGUGCUAAUACCGCAUAACAGUUUAUGCCGCAUGGCAUAAGAGUGAAAGGCGCUUUCGGGUGUCGCUGAUGGAUGGACCCGCGGUGCAUUAGCUAGUUGGUGAGGUAACGGCUCACCAAGGCCACGAUGCAUAGCCGACCUGAGAGGGUGAUCGGCCACACUGGGACUGAGACACGGCCCAGACUCCUACGGGAGGCAGCAGUAGGGAAUCUUCGGCAAUGGACGAAAGGCUGACCGAGCAACGCCGCGUGAGUGAAGAAGGUUUUCGGAUCGUAAAACUCUGUUGUUAGAGAAGAACAAGGACGUUAGUAACUGAACUUCCCCUGACGGUACCUAACCAGAAAGCCACGGCUAACUACGUG
rnacentral:rRNA from 1 species